CAUGCGAGUUCGAGAGGCGAAAGACCUCGGCAUACUGCUCAGUAACACGUGGAUAAUCUGCCCUCAGGUGAGGAAUAAUCCCGGGAAACUGGGGCUAAUACCUCAUAGGAGACGGCUGCUGGAAUGCUCUGUCUCUGAAAGGUCUGCCGCCUGAGGAUGAGUCUGCGUCCGAUUAGGUUGUUGUUGGGGUAACGGCCCACCAAGCCUUUGAUCGGUACGGGUUGUGGGAGCAAGAGCCCGGAGAUGGAUUCUGAGACAUGAAUCCAGGCCCUACGGGGCGCAGCAGGCGCGAAAACUUUACAAUGCGAGCAAUCGUGAUAAGGAAACCCUGAGUGCCUGUUUAUCACAGGCUGUUCUGGUGUCUAACCCACACCAGGAGAAAGGGCGGGGCAAGACCGGUGCCAGCCGCCGCGGUAAUACCGGCUGCUCGAGUGAUAGCCACUUUUUACUGG
rnacentral:rRNA from 1 species